UCUCCUGGUGCGUGUUAUAAAUUCUUUUCCCUGUAAAUACUGUUCAUGUUCCUUUGGGUUUUCAUGUAGCAAUAGAUUCUAUGAUUGAGAAUUGUUACCUAAGAACAGGAGAAUAGUCUUCAUGGGCUUAAGUUGGAGCCUGGAUUGUGACACAGGGUCCUCGAAUGUUCUUGGCAAGCUAGUCUAUUCCUUCAAACCCCCUCAGGGAGCUCAAGCAAAUCAGCUCCCUCCUUCUGUUUCCUGGCACUGCUGUCUCCGUGUUCACAAUAAUAAACUUAAUAAAUAUCAAAUGACCCAGUACCAAGAAGCAAGGGCGUGGCAUGUCCUAGGCUGGGGUAGUUCAGGAUUCAGUCUGAAUUCAUGUAAUUCUUGAAUCCUUCAUUCAUAAUGUUAUUUCAUCCUUGGACCAUGCCUUACCACAGGAACAACUUUGAGUCUGAGAUGCUCACGAUGCAGCACCAGUAAGUGAUGACCGACAUGAAGAAAAUGAGCGAGCAGGUCAAUAGAGCUUUGGUCAAAUGUACACACCUCACACUGGAAAAUGACUGGUACUGGUGAGUAACUUACAAGGUUGUGACCCCAGCACAGGGCACAGCAUGUGUCAGCCCAUUCUUAUCUUCGAAGUAAAGUGAGGAUCAGGCUUUUUAGUGUUUGAAGCAGACCAGGAAGCCUGUGUCUAAGGAAGGCUCUAGGACACACAGGACACAGAAAGAUUGGCCUCCAAGCGACAUUCUAAUAAAAUGGACAAAUAAGCACACAUGGGGAUUAAGUCCUCUUCCGGGAAAAACUUGAAUCAAUGGUGUCAGUUUUUGAGAAGUGCCCUGAGUCUUCUGGAAUGUGGCUCUUUUCUCCAUUUGACCUGUCUCUAGGUCAUGCUCCAUGGCUACUGUGGACUUGGACUAUAAUCUGGGACUCUCUUCAGAUCAGGACCCUAGAAGGAGUAAUGGACUUGGAGACGUGGGAGGAAGUUGGAGACUGGCUGGGAGUCACCAUUUUUAUUUUGUGUCUCAGCCACAGCUUCUGCCCCCUCCUAACUGAGUUGUUUGAGCUGAAGAACAAUGCCCAGAGAGCAGGGCAUGAGAACAGGGAGCUUCUAUGGGAACAGAUUGCACUGGAAGAGUCUAUUAAGGAAACAACAAGGUUCUGUGGGGAAGCCAGUAUGAAAAUCCGUGUAACAAGCAUCCUCAGGUCUGAACACUGUAGCAGAAGCUUUCCCAGGGCACAGAGCAGGAUUACAACUCUCAGAGACAGAACUGUCCACCAGGAGCACUGAGGGUGCAAAGAUUAACACCACCUCCCGCAUCUCAGUCCUUGUAACCAUACCAAUCUUGGGCUAAAUUUGAAAGACCUUGAGAUGUGGCCUGGAACACGCCUCACGUUUAACCUUUUGACGACUUGUCCAUCAACAACCAACCACUCCGAGUGAGGCAGGUCUACAUUCAUCUUGAGGAGAUUUUUACCAUCUUACCUGCCGUUCUGCUGUGUUUGCAAGGCCAGCAACAGGCUGGAGUUAUAUGUUGAAGAAUCAGCAGGAAUUGAAUGCUGACUAAUUUACUUGUUAUAUUUGUUUUUAGUUUGAAGUUUGGUUUUAUGCAUUUGGUUUUAUUUGUUUACGUUUGAAGUUUUGUUAUUUAUUUGUUAACUUUAGUUUUUUAAUUAAUAUGCUAUAUUCUUAAGGCUAUAUACAUUGAACUCAUUGACUCCCCACUUUAAAAUGUUCUCGAAUAAAUUAAUUUUUGCCAAUAAAUAAAAAUGUGACCUUUAACCCUU